GGGCUAUAAAAUGUCACGCUAUCUACCCAUCAAAACCCGAAUUAAAAAAAUGAAAUCUACGUUAAAACAAGUAGCAAUUUUCAAACAUGGGAUGGAGAUGUCACACGAAAUGCCACCCGGAGCGAAAACAGAAUGGCCAGAGCUUGUGGGUAGAGAUGCAAACGAAGCUGAGUUUAUUAUAGUGAAGGAAAAUCCUUUUACCUUACCUUAUGUAUCUCACCCAGAUUUAGAGUUCGACAUGAUCGGCGCAAAUCCGAAAUUCUUAGUUAGUCUUCCGGUCAACAAUCUUGAAGACUAUUUGAUUGUUAAAACCCCUAGAUGUGGACACUAAGGAUAUGCAUAUAGUUGAGAGUGAUUUUUAAAAUCGUUAAUAUCACUUUUGUCAUUUUUAAAAUCAUUACAAAAAUAUGUUUUUAAUCGUGUAAAACUAGUUUUGAUAUCAUGAAAAUUGUAUUUAAAAGUAAAUUUAUUUUAAGUGAUUAAAGACGUAUUUAAGAGUAAUUUUAGAAAUGACAAAAAUGAUUUUUAACGAUUUUAAAAUCUCACUCUCAUUCACUAAAUUGUUAAAAUAACGUUAUCUGUCUUAAUCCAAAUAUGCAAACUUCAAUGAUCUUAUGAUAUGAAAUAUGAAUAAAAUAACAUAUUAUUAUUACGUUCUUCUCU